rnacentral:rRNA from 1 species
GGAUUAGAUACCCUAGUAUAAUAAAAUUAGAGUGAUUAUUAUUGAUUAAGAAAUUUAAAAUUUUUGGCGGUUAAUUAUUAAUUAGAGGAGCUUGUUAUUAGAAUUUACUCUUUAUAUUUUAUUAAUUUUUGUUUAUUUAUCUCCGUUAUUAGGUAUUGACUUUAUAAGUAAAUAGAUAUCUUGAAUUUCAGGUCAAGAUGUAGCUUAAAUUAAAUUUAAUUAGCUACAUUUGUACUAUAUUGUGGAUUUAAAUUUAAUAGAAAUAUCUAAUGAAAUUGAAUUUAAUUGUAAUAUUAUUUAUAGGGAUAGUAUGAAGGUUUAUAUUUAAUGUUCAUAUUGCCCGUCACUUCUUUUGUUUAAAUAGAAUAAGUCGUAACAAAG